CGUAGGAGUGGUGGCGCACACCCGUAAUCCCUGCCUCCUGGGAUCGAGGCGGGUAGAUCGCUUGAGCUUGGGAGUUCUGAGCUGCAGUAAGGUGUUUGCACUUAGCCUGGCACCAGUAGGAUGAGCCCCCAGUAGUGGGGGUCCAUGAGGCUGCCUAAGGAGUGAUCCAGCCCAAGUUAGAAAAGUGGAGCAUAUCAAAACUCCCAUGUCGAUCAGUAGUGGGACUGGGCCUGUGAGUGACCAAUGCCCUUCCAGCCUGGACAAGAUAAAGAGAUCGAAUCCCCA
rnacentral:SRP_RNA from 1 species